GUGACAUCCGGUAACGCUGCGGAGCGCGCCUUCCCCAGCGCCGUUCGUUUUUCCGGGCGCCGCGAGUGGCGAGCGAUCCUGCGCGGCUUCUGAAUUGUGCUGAAGGGUGGCCACAGCAGCGUUACCACCACAAGUGGCAGCACCAUGUCGGAGCGCUCAGGCGUCCGGAAGCUGGCGCGAGAAGCCGCCAUCCAGAUCGCAUCGGGCGGCUCGGCGGGCUUCGUCGAGAUCUGCCUGAUGCACCCGCUGGACGUGGUCAAGACCCGCUUCCAGGUGCAGCACAACCAGCUGCUCGCCGCUGCCGGAGAGCAUCGCUACACCUCGAUCGCCGACUGCUUCCGGCGCAUGGUCCACGCUGAGGGAUUCCUGGCCAUCUACAAGGGAAUCCUGCCGCCGAUCCUGGCCGAGACGCCCAAGCGAGCCGUCAAGUUCUUCACCUUCGAGCAAUACAAGAAGUUGUUCGCGUUCGGCGGCCCCCAGACGGCCGUCACCCUCUCUUUAGCCGGACUGUUCGCAGGGCUCACCGAAGCUGUGUUCGUAAACCCGUUCGAAGUGGUCAAGGUGCGGCUGCAGACCGACAAGCAGGUCGUCACGCGGCAGCCGAGCACGUUCGCCGUAGCCAGAAACAUAUACCGUGAGGCAGGGUUUGGGCUUCGUGGCCUGAACCUCGGGCUCACCUCGACCAUGAGUCGAAACGGACUGUUCAACAUGUUCUACUUUGGCUUUUACUUCACAGUCAAGGACAAGCUGCCAAAGAUGGAUAGCGAGGCGGCCACCUUCGCCAUGCGGCUGGCUACGGGAUUCGUGGCUGGCACGGGCGCUUCCAUGAUGAACAUACCGUUCGACGUGGCCAAGAGUCGCAUCCAGGGCCCGCAGCCCGGGCCGCCUGGCACGAUCAAGUACAGGACUUGCCUGCAGAGCGUGCGCACCGUGUACGUGGAGGAAGGCUUCUUUGCACUCUACAAAGGCCUCGUGCCCAAGGUCCUUCGGCUUGGUCCCGGCGGCGCCGUCAUGUUGGUCGUGUACGAGCACAUGCACGAAUUCCUCAAGAAAAAGUUUCCCGGCUGAUGAUGUCAGAAGCAAAGUCUAGAGCCACGAGAAAUAAUUCAAAGAAGAAUGAAGGUUUGUUUGUUUGCCUCUGAACUCUGGCUUCUCUUUGAGAACAUUGUCCGGUGAUCAUGCCACCCUCCAUCGCACCAUUUGUUCUCAGUUGUUCUGUUUUUCCAAAGAAAGCGGACACAAUACUAGUGUGCUUUUGUGAGCGCCUUCACAGAACCAGUGUGCUUUCGUGAGCGGCUCACAGAAGUUCCUGGCACAUGUCAAACAGGGUGUUGAGCGGCGAUAGUGCUUUGCGUUUUGGGUUAACAAGGCCUCAAUAUAUAGAAAAAUAAUUGUGUGUUGGGUGUACUUCCUCAUGCCUGAUGCGAUACCGGGUUUUCCGCUAGUGGCGUUCCGUAAAACAUUCACACUAUAUGAAAAACAUUACGAGUUUUCACACGUCAAAAAAUGUCAAAAAUAUUAUUUAAAGCGGCUUAUUUCAUGCCGCUGUGCAACGCUCAACAAUUGAAAUGCUGUAAUCGGAGCACACUGCAUCCAUUCGAUGUAUUCGGUGCGGCUUACGUUCGCGUGCCUUGUACCGGCUUGUUAUUCGCACUAUUUUCAAAAGCCCGCACACCCCAUCACACCACGGACGUUCUUCGAGCGCUUAAAUUGCCGCGUUUUGUUCUUUGAGAACUGUACAUAUUAGAAACAAUUCAGCCGAGUUAUAACAUUAUGCAUGGAAAGAUUGACGUACUUAAAGCUGUUUUUAGUUAAUGCAGUUUUUUAUCAUUUCUCGUGGCGGAAUAACUUGCUACCGUACUUACCUUUUCAACGAAGUGCUGCUUUUAAGAUUGAUUGCUAUGACAAUUAUCGAUCCAGGCUGAAACUGAUGCGCUCUUGCAUACUCGAAAAGACGACGAAAUUAAACGCACGUCCGAAUACGCAGGUUGAUACAAAAGUAUAAUUUUGGUGAUUGAGCAAAUUACUUGGUAUCCAGUAUUCCUCUGAGGAGUCUUGCGGGAACCACAUUCUGCAGUAUAUAGCCUGUAGCGAAUUAGCAGCUUACUACAUCGGAAAGUAUGAGAAGUUUGAGCGCUAUAACCUCACUUGGAAUUGUCGUCGCGUACAUUUUCUGGUAUUGUCACAUUGACGCAUCGCUGGGAGGCUUUUCAAAAGUUGCAAUUCCGAGUGAGCUCACCCGCUCGGGCAAGUUCCGAUCCGGCCGAGCCGCCAGCUGCGCAGUUUACAGCACAGAUUGUGCUUUUCUCCUUUUUCAUUUCUUGCUGAGCAACUUCGACUGGGAAUGUUUUGUGCUGCCUUGCGAUCCUCAGCAGGUGUUUGAAGAGCGUGACUUGCGCUUCGACACACGUGGGGGCGUGCUGUUAACUGUUAUGCCGCGCCCUUUCAGUUUUAGCAAGCCACAUUUGCUUUGCGACCAGUGCCCGACCAAAGAACAAGAAAACGUUGCAUAGCUGGCGGCUUACCCACGUCAUACGUGAUACUGCUUCCUUGUUGUGUUAUUAUACCCGGUAAAGUUUAUUUCUGGCGUGUU
rnacentral:misc_RNA from 1 species